CUUCUUCAAACCACCAUAGCCAUUACAAAACAAAUACAAUCUUAAACCAAAACUUCUUCCUCUCUCCAUUCCCAUGAUAGAUACCUUCUUCAUUCUUCAAUAUAUUCUAACCAAAAUGAAUGCUUCCCUACAUAAUACCAUAACAAACUCACCUUAAAUUUUGUACUUCUUCAAUUAACAACCAUGAACACAUAACCUCACACAAAAUAUCAUCUCAUUGAAACAACACACACUAGCAAUCUUCUCACCUUCAUUUUGAUUCAACAACCCAACCGCAACAACACGUCGGCACCACAACAUCGCCCAACACAUCAGAAGCUUUCAGCCGCUGCUCUACACCACAUGCACACCACUGGAAAACCAUCACCAUCUUGAAUUUGAAUGAACCACCUCUUCGCCGCCUCACUUGUUUCCAUCAUUGAUGUGUCCGAUUCGAGUAAGCAUCGAGAGAGAUGAUAAGUCUUUAUUUUUAAGCCAUUGUUGAUGUUUGAGUUUUUUAGAGAGUUAAAAAAAUGAAGGAAAAGAGAUAGGAGAGCUGAGUUUUCCUACUCGUAUCAGGUACUGGUCUUUUAUGCUACUGAUUUUGUUUUUCUUUUAUGCUUUUUUUUCAUUUAUUUAUUAGAGUUGAGAUUUACUUUUUUAUUUUAUUGGUUUGGAUUGGAUAACUUAGAUGAAGUUUUAUUUAAUGAAUCUGUACAGAGACAAGAUUUGUUUUUAAGUAUAUGUUUCUGGUAUAAAAAGUCAAAGAUAAAUAAUGGCAAAAGAUCUUUAAAUUUGGAGUACUGUAUUGUUAGUACUAGGAAACAAAUUAUCAUCUAUCAGCUAUGAAGUAUUAAACCUUAUAACUAGUAUUGUUAAUUUUGGUAAGUUUUAGAACUCAUGAAAUCUUAAAUAAUAUUGACUUCAAGAUCAACAUGUAAGAAGAGAAAAAAUGUGUUUGCCUCAUUUGUAAAGAACAAUAGUUAUUUAGAUCUUUUAAACUUAAAUUUUUAAAAUUUGAAUUGUUCUAUGUGGGUCUUUUAAUGUAGUUUAGGAAUAUUUGGUUUAGAAUUUGUUAUUGUUUGUUUUAAAUGCAUCACCAUAAAUGACAACUAGCUUGUAAAAUAGGAAAAUAAGUCUAUUUUGGUUUAGACUCAGUUUAGAAUUGCUUCCAAUUUCAUAUAAUAUUUGGCACUUUUUUAUACAAUUAUGUUUUCUCAUUUUGUCACCUAAGCUCUUUUCUAAUUNUUAAGAAAUACUCUUGAUUUCUUAAUCAUGAAUGUAAAUGAAAUAUGUAUGAGUUAAGAAAUACUCUUGACUUCUUAAUCAUGAAUGUAAAUGAAUUGAGAAAUGCUCUUGAUUUCUCAGAUGAAAUGCAAAUGAAUUAAGAAACACUCUUGAUUCCUUAAUCAUGAAUGUAAAUAUGCUGAGAAAUGCUCUUGACUUCUCAGAUGCUAUGCAAAUUAAUUAAGAAAUACUCUUGAUUCCCUAAUCAUGAAUGUAAAUGAAUUGAGAAAUGGUCUUGAUUUCUCAGAUGAUAUGAAGACGAGUUAAGAAAUACUCUUGAUUCCUUAAUCAUUGAAUGUAAAUGUACUGAGAAAUGCUCUUGAUUUCUCAGAUGAUAUGCAAAUGAGUUAAGAAAUACUCUUGAUUUCUUAAUCAUGAAUGUAAAUGAAUUAUGUAUGAGUUAAGAAAUACUCUUGAUUUCUUAAUCAUGAAUGUAAAUGAAAUAUGUAUGAGUUAAGAAAUACUCUUGAUUUCUUAAUCAUGAUAGUGCAGAUGAAUUAAGAAAUACUCUUGAUUCCUUAAUUAUGAAUGUAAAUGAGAAAUGCUCUUGAUUUCUCAUAUGACAUGCAAAUGACUAGGGAUGAGAGAAUCAUGUUCAGUUGCUCUUGACUGACAUUAGGUCUCUAGGAUGGAUCUGUUAUAACGUAACAUGCUCGACUGGUCUUCAGACGUUCUUCGUUGAAGGCAGACACUCCUGGGGGAAUAAAUGAUCAUAUUCAGCUGCUUUUGGCUAAAGAUGUCAUAUUCAACAACUCUUGGCUGAAACUGAUGCAUUCAACGACUCUUGGUUGAAGCAAAAACUGUAAAAUAAAGUAGUGUUCAGCUGUUUUUUACUGAAACCACUGCAUUCAACUGCUCAUGGUUGAAGCAAAACUGGGAGAUAAAAAUCUUCUACUUAAUCUCAUGUUUUGAAAUUGUUAAAUAAUAAACUUAUUAUUAAAUUUGUUGAACACAUUUUUCUCAAUAAAAUUUACACAACUAUAAAAAUCAAGGAAAUAAAGCAUAUAUACAGAAUUUAGCGACGAAAAAAACCACAACAUAGAAAAUCACGAGUAAAAGCUAUACAACUCCUAUCUAGAGAAAUUAUGUGAUAGUUGAAAGAAUUAGAAAAGAGCUUAGGUGACAAAAUGAGAAAACAUAAUUGUAUAAAAAAGUGCCAAAUAUUAUAUGAAAUUGGAAGCAAUUCUAAACUGAGUACUUCAAGGAAAUAAUUCAUUUUUAAGGAGUCAAGAGUACUUCUUAACCUUCAUUUACAUGCAUAUCGCCCGACAAUUAGGAAAUCAAGAGUAUUUCUUAAAUCUCGUUGCAUUCAUUUGCAUUAUUGUCUGUUGAUUAAGAAAUCAAGAGUAUUUCUUAAAUCCAAGUGCAUUCGGUCAUAAUCAUAAGCAUAUCAUUCUUCUACAUUAGAAGGGCAAAAUUUGGGUCUGUUUGGUAUUUAAACUAUCUUUUACCAUGAUGAUUUGAAGACAAGAGUUCUUCAUAUCCUCCGGUUAAAUAUGUUUAAAUAGGGGCAGCUGUCAUACCCUAAAUUUCACCCUGAGUUUUCACUCGCAUCAGCAUAACAUAAAUCGAUCCAUUUUGUCGUGUAUUUCAUCAAUUUAAAGCAUUCAUCAGGGUUCAGGUAAAAGGUCAGGAAUUCUGACAUUUUAUCUGAAUUUGAUAAUACUUAUUCAGUCGUCUGUUGAUUAAGAAGUCAAAAGACUUGAUUUCUCAAUCUCGUUGCAUCGCUUAUUUUUAUUACGUCGUAUUUUAGAGGUUCGGAAAGUGAUAAUCAAGAUUAUUGUCGUCGUCUGAAUCUUUGUAGGUUUUGUUUGUGCUUGAGAAUCAACAGCAAAUCGUACAAGAGCGAUUCAUUUGCAUCUGACUGUCUGUUCACGAUUAUUCAGUCAGCAAUUCAGUUCAUUUACAUGACGCUUGCAUUUUUUUACUUGUAAAAACAUGCAUUUUGUUUCACAUAGUGCUUAAAAUAUACUUGAAUUAAUUUUUUCGAAACUACAGACAGACCGGUCAAAUCGUUUCUCAACUGUACGUCGAACUAUCGGGCGGAAAAUUUCAAAAUUGAACUUGCAGACGUCAGUUUUAGUAAUCUACGAUUUGUGUAUUUUAAUUUGGCAUGCUCAUUUUAAUUUUUUGACUACUUUUUCAGUCGCAUUUUAAUCAGUUUGAGCCUUUUAACCGGUCGAUUUUUAUUUCAAAAUUUGAUCGAAACAUGUAUGUUUCUGAGAAGUUUAUUUCACAUUGAUAAGUUUGAUGCAUUCAAUUUAUUUAUUUUUGGGGCAUUUUUUGCCCGAUUUUUAUUUAUUUUUUAUCCGAUUAUUUUUUAUUCUUAACCAAAAUGUCGUUGGAAUUAAUUAGAUUUGUCCGAAUUUUUAUUUUUAUUUUAUUUUGCAUUUUCGAUUUUUAUUUUAAAUUAUUAAUAUUUUAGUUUUUUAGAAAAAUUAAUUUAAGAAAAAAAUCAGAAAAUAUCUUUUGAUCCCCCACUCAAUUGUUGUCACGUGUCCCCAUUUUUCUGCCAUCCACAUGAAACCACGUCUCUCUUUUUUACACCACAAAUACCUCUUCCUCCAAUCAACAGCAAGGACUACAAGGAAAUAAUACAAAAGAAACAUGUGGAAAAGAAAACGAACAAAAGAAGGUCGAAUGAAUUGACCAUCAUCUUCUUGCUCAUACUCCAUCAAUAUCUCUAACUCUACCAUAUUAAAGUUUUAUCUUCUUCAAACCACCAUAGCCAUUACAAAACAAAUACAAUCUUAAACCAAAACUUCUUCCUCUCUCCAUUCCCAUGAUAGAUACCUUCUUCAUUCUUCAAUAUAUUCUAACCAAAAUGAAUGCUUCCCUACAUAAUACCAUAACAAACUCACCUUAAAUUUUGUACUUCUUCAAUUAACAACCAUGAACACAUAACCUCACACAAAAUAUCAUCUCAUUGAAACAACACACACUAGCAAUCUUCUCACCUUCAUUUUGAUUCAACAACCCAACCGCAACAACACGUCGGCACCACAACAUCGCCCAACACAUCAGAAGCUUUCAGCCGCUGCUCUACACCACAUGCACACCACUGGAAAACCAUCACCAUCUUGAAUUUGAAUGAACCACCUCUUCGCCGCCUCACUUGUUUCCAUCAUUGAUGUGUCCGAUUCGAGUAAGCAUCGAGAGAGAUGAUAAGUCUUUAUUUUUAAGCCAUUGUUGAUGUUUG
rnacentral:lncRNA from 1 species